rnacentral:rRNA from 1 species
UACGGGGGGGGCAAGCGUUGUUCGGAAUUACUGGGCGUAAAGGGUGCGUAGGCGGUCUGUUAAGUCGGGUGUGAAAGCCCCGGGCUCAACCUGGGAAUUGCAUUCGAGACUGAAUAGCUAGGGUACGGUAGAGGGAAGUGGAAUUUCCGGUGUAGCGGUGAAAUGCGUAGAUAUCGGAAGGAACAUCAGUGGCGAAAGCGACUUCCUGGACCAGUACCGACGUUCAGGCACGAAAGCGUGGGGAGCAAACAGG